AUCCAUUAAAUAUGUUGAAUAAAAAUUAGAAAGGAUAAAUGUUGAAAGUUGAGACUUUUCAACUCUCCCUCAACAUUCAUAUCACGGUAACGCAAGAAACAGCGCUUUCAUACUAGAUGAUUAUAAUAAGAAUAAUUAUCGGAAAAGCCAUCUGGGAGAAGCUUCAACGAAAAAACGCAAAAUCACAAAUAGGAGCUUUUAUAUAAUUUAUAUGAUCUUCAUAGAAAGAGGAUGGAAAUAGACUUGUAGUCUCCCACGAAGACUUGGGUGGAUUUAUAUUUCUUCACUGUUUACUUUCCAUUUUCACAGUCAUUCCAAUAAUUCUCUUCUCUCUAAACAACUUUGGCUUUCAGUAAUGUCUUCCAACGCCAUCGUCCAAUACACUGCUUCUUCAUCUCAUGCAAUUAACAGAUACGAUGUAUUUGUGAGCUUCCGUGGUGAAGACACACGUAACAACUUCACUGGUUUUCUCUUUCAAGCUCUCCGUAGAAAAGGCAUCCAUGCCUUCAAAGAUGAUGAAGAUCUCAAAAAAGGUGAAUCCAUAGCACCCGAGCUCCUCCAUGCUAUUCAAAGCUCUCGACUUUUCAUUAUUGUCUUCUCAAAGAACUAUGCUUCCUCCACCUGGUGCUUGCGUGAACUGGCAGAGAUACGUAACUGCGUUCAAACUUCGCCCAGACCUGUUAUACCUGUCUUUUAUGACGUUGAUCCUUCGGUGGUGCGCAAACAAAGUGAAUGUUAUGAGAAAGCAUUUGCAGAACACGAAAAGAGAUUCAGAGAAAACAAAGCGAAGAUGGAGGAAGCUGAGAGAUGGAGAGAAGCUCUCAAAGAAGUGGCCGAUCUCUCUGGUUGGGAUAUUCGAAAUAAGUGAGUAAUAUAACCCUUUUUAUGUCCUGUUGUUUUCUGAAAUAUUCAUUAUAUAUCCCUUUCUAGAAUAGAGUUCAAAGAUGUUAGGAAUUUAGGAAAAGUAGAAAACAGUGGUUGAUGUGUGUUAGUGGUAUGAGUUUGGGAGGGAUAGCUUAUAGAAAGUAAUGUAUUAAUUCUCGUGAAGUUUUCGAUCAUAGAAGUUAUCAAUUUGAUGACACAUCUAGCUUUAUUGAUAUGUCAGCUGAAUGAGUCAACCCGACAAUGACUCACCCUAAAUUUCAAAAACCUCCAUACUGAUUUAAGUUUAUCUAACACAUUCUGCAUCUUUAAAGUUGUUUUGUUUGUAGACUAAUUAUAAUACAUUUUGAUGGGUUCCAGGACUUUCUCCAUCGUAGUCAUGAUUUAUCUUGUGCCAUUAUGUAAAAACAAAGGGUUUAGUAGAAAACAUGCAAACGAUAGUUUGAAAGUUAAAAUCUUUUACGCUAUAUAUUAUUUUGUCCUAUAAAUGCAUAUACUCUUUUUGGUUCUAUUGGGUGAUUUUCCUUCAUUUCAUUUAAAAUUUCAGGUCACAGUAUGCACAAAUUGAAGAAAUUGUUCAAAACAUAACAAAUAUUUUGGGUCCAAAAAUUUGUAGUCUUCCAAAGGAUGAACUAGUUGGGAUAGAGCGUGGACUUGAAAUAUUGGCAAAUCUUGUAUGUUUUGAGUCAUUUAAUAAUGUUCGAGUUGUUGGAAUCAGUGGGAUGGGUGGCAUAGGAAAGACUACUCUUGCUCGAGCUUUAUACGAAAAAAUCUAUCAUCAAUAUGAUUUUCAUUGUUUCAUUGAUGAUGUAAGCAAAAUAUAUCGAGAUUCAAGUUCAUUAGGUGUACAAAAGCAGUUAAUUUCUCAGUUUCUAAAUGAGAAAAAUCUAGAGAUUUCAAAUUCUUUUGAGGGAACAUGUUUGAUGUGGUCUAGGCUACACAAUGUUAAGGCACUUGUAGUUCUGGACAACAUUGAUGAAGUUGAACAACUAAGGAUAUUUACAGGGAACAGAGACACUUUGUUGCGUGAAUGCUUAGGUGGAGGGAGCAUAAUCAUCGUAGUUUCUAGGGAUGAACAUAUAUUGAGGACACAUGGAGUAGAUGACAUUUAUCAAGUCCAACCAUUGAAUUACGAAUAUGCUAUGCAACUGUUUUGUAGAAAUGCAUUCAAAGUUAAUCAUAUUUUGAGUGAUUACGAAAAGUUGGCAUGGGAUAUACUAUCUUAUGCUCAGGGCCACCCCUUAGCAAUUAAAGUAAUUGGGUCAUCUUUGUUUCGUCGAAAUGUGUCACAAUGGGAAAGUGCAUUGGCCAGGCUAAAAGAAAAAAAAAGUAAACAUAUUAUGGAUGUUUUGCGUAUAAGUUUUGAUCAGCUGGAUGANGAAGACAAACAAAUAUUUUUGGAUAUUGCAUGUGCCCUAUACUAUUAUGAUGAGAAAUAUGUGACGGAAGUUCUAAAGUUUCGUGGAUUUCAUCCUGAAUAUGGUCUACAAGUUUUGCAUGACAAAUCACUAAUAUCAAAAAUGGGUAGGUGUAUUUAUAUGCACAACUUGUUGAAGGACUUGGGCAGGUAUAUUGUCAAAGAAGAAUCACCAAAGGAACCCCUAAAGAGGAGUAGGUUGUGCAAUUACCAAGAUUUCCUCAAAGCUAUGUCGAAAAAUCAGGUAAAAUUAAUAGAUUCAAUUAUAAUUUUACGUUGCUAUUUUUUUAGAGUAUGAAAUCCCUCAGAAAAUAUAACAAUUUUAUUCUUUGUGCGUAGACAACUGAAAUUCUUGAAGUCGUAGCUGUAAAUUCAUAUGAGAGUUCUAAAACUGUGAGGAUAGAUGGUCUAUCGAAAAUUAAACACCUUAAGUUUCUUAAACUUGUGGGAGUGAACUGUUCAGGAAGUCUCAGUCAUCUUUCCAGUGAGUUAGGAUAUCUUACAUGGAACAAAUAUCCUUUUGAGUGUUUGCCUCAAAGUUUUCAGCCACACAAACUAGUGAAGUUAAAAUUGAGAGAGAGCAGUAUUCAACGACUAUGGAGUGACACAAAGGUGAUGUAUAUUAAAUUUAUAUUUCUAAGGAAAAAAUUAAAGAAAACCAUUAUUAAUUGAGCUCUUGUAUUUGCCAAUCGUUGUAGGUGCUACCUAAUUUGAAGCUUUUGGAUCUCUCUUACUCCAAAGAAUUAGUUGAGAUGCCAGAUGUUGCAGAGGCCCUAAAUGUUGAAGAAAUAGUUCUUGAAGGAUGCAUACAGCUCCGAAAACUCAGUCCAUCGAUUGGUCUUCUGAGCAAGCUUACUAUUUUGAAUUUGAAAGACUGUGAAAACUUAGUAAGCUUACCUAAUAGCAUAUUGGGCCUGAAUUCUCUUGAAUAUCUGAGUGUCUAUGGUUGUUCAAAUCUGUUUAAUAAUGAGUUAUUAGAUGAAGCAAGUAACACAGAGCAUUUGAAGAAGCUUUGUUCAGUUGAAGGUCCUAUUCAUUCCCACUCAAUAUUCCCUUCAAUGAAAAAAGCACGAAGAGAGUCAGUUAGUUGUCUAUUACCAUCCUCUCCUAUUCUCCCUUGUUUGCGUGAACUCGAUCUAAGAUUUUGUAACUUAGUUAAAAUUCCUGAUGCUAUUGGAAAGUUAAGCUGCUUAGAAAAGCUAAAUUUGAAGGGAAACAAUUUUGUUACAUUGCCUAACCUCAAGGACCUUUUCAGACUUUAUUAUUUAAACUUACAAUGCUGCAAGCGAUUGAAAUACUUGCCUGACCUCCCUUCACGAACUCACUUGCCCUUAAAUCUUUACUCGUAUCCGAUGCAAUAUAUUGAAGACUACUUUCGUAUAGAGGACCGUAAAGAUUAUCCUGGAUUAAUGAUGUUCAACUGCCCAGAAAUAGUUGAGAGGGAACGGUGCACUAGCAUGACUAUUUCAUGGAUGCUACAAAUUCUUCAGGUGUGCAUGUUUCUUCCUUACACUUACCUUCUUUUAAUUUAUUUUUGGUGUUGAAAAACAACUACUAACGCAUAACAUAACUCAGUCGUGGUACAAGUCGGAAUGUCUUUCCUUUUCUUCAAGUCUUCGAAGUAUUAUCCCCGGAAGUGAAAUACCAAUGUGGUUCAACAAUCAGCUUCUGAGCAUGGACAAUUCAAUAAUCAUAGAUGUCUCUCCUUUUGUGCAUGACAAUAAUUUGAUUGGUGUUGUGUGCUGUGCAAUACUCAGUGAAGAUUUUUACAGAACAAGAAUAUCUGUGGAGCACUCAGAUCAUGUGUGCCUAUUUUAUUACUCUCGUCAACAGUUCUGCGAUAAAGAAGGCAUAUUUCGGGGCAAACUUAAUACACAUGACUUGAGUUUGAAAUUUAAAUUACAUGACGUGGUAAUCCUUUGUGCAAAGAUGAAGGAUAGGGACGAGGGAUGUUAUGAGUUUGAAGUGAAAAAAUACGGGUAUCGGUGGGUUAAAAAGCAAGAUCUACACUGACUCAUGGAUGAAAUUUGGCAGCAUGUUUUAAGCAAUACCUUCAGAAGACACACAAUUUUAUGAGUUGAAGACACAUGUACUAAAAAUACCUAAUGCUACAAUAUGCCGUGGAGUUACCAAUUUUAAAGAUUUCAAGAUCAACCAACAUUCUUACCCUUAAAUUUAAAUGACUAGUUUAAAGAGAGGCUGAAUUGAAAUUUCUAAAUAUUUUCGCAAAAAUUAGAAUUAUAUUUUAAUUAAACCAGUCUAUUACAGAAUUUGGUUUUGAUUGUUGUGGUUUCGAAAAUCAAAUAAAUAUCAAUCUUAUAAAGCAUUGCAAAAAUACACUUAUGACAUAAACGAAUAUUUUACGGUUAAGCUAAGUGAGCUCGUCUUCCAAUAAAUACAAUUAAGAAACAUAAACAUAUCAAAGUGGAUUUUUAAAGUAAUAAAUGAUAAAAAGAAAUAAAACAUAUAAAAAAUAGGUUGAUUAUCAAAUUCUUCUAUAGUUGAUUUUUUUUUAUUGAUUAUUAUAUGAUUAUUUUCACUUAUUCUAUAAAUAGAGACCUAAAAGUAAACAAAUAAGUUUCAUUUAAUUAAUUAAGACUCUUAUUCAUUCUAAACAUUUUUUUAGUUAGAUUUUAGUUAUACUUUAUUCAUUCCAAACAUCCAUAAUUAAAAUAUUUUCAGUAUACAAGUUUAAAUUAAGUAAACAUUUGUAAAUUACUUAUACAAUGAAAACUUAUUAACACUCCAAAAGUACAAGUAGGGAUGGACAAAUAGAACUGAAUUGCACUGUACUACUAAAAUCUGUACUAAACUAAAAAUUAAUUUGUCUAAACUGAACUCUGUAAAAUAGUUCAGACAAACUGAACUGUUUUUUGUUUUAUCAAACUGAACUGAACUACUAAUUAUACUAAUUUUAAACUGAAUUGUACUAAUUUUAAACUGAAAUGUACUAGUUUUUAAACAAAAUAGUAUAACAAUACACCUUUUUAAUCGAAAUUUAUUUUAAUAUUUUUUCAAAACAUAUAUAAUUAACUUUGAAUUUUAAUAUUUAAGUUAAUUUUAUAUUUGUUAAGAGUAAAUUAUAUCCCCUUAGAAAUAAUAUUAUACUAUCCUCCAUUUUUAUGUUAUAACAAUAUAUAAUUUGAUUUAUUUUAACUGUUAUAACAAAUCACAUUUCUCUCUUGAAAUAUAUGAAUAUUACAUUAUUUUUCGUGCUUAUAUUAAAGUAUAUAACAUGUUUUUAUCACGUAAAUAUUUAAAACUCAGUUUUGGUAUUUUAUUUAUUUAUUUUUACUUUUAUUCUUCUAACUUUGAACCGUAUAAAUUUAAUAUUUUAAUUAAUCAUUUAAUAAAAUUAAAUUUUAAAAAAUAUAUUUUAUUUUUCAUUACUUAAAAUAAUAUUAUUUAAAAAGUAAUAUAUAUUUAUUACUAAAAAAAUAUAAAAAUUUGUGAUAAAAAAAAUUUUGUCUUAAAAAAUUAAUUAUUAUUUUGUUUUAAUGUGAACUGUUUCUUUUAUUGAUAUUUUAAUAUUAAUUAACAUUUUCUUAACCAGACGAAAUAGUUGAACGAAAAGUAGAGAAGAACGUUCUCACAGUUAACUAACUGAAACAGUUAUAAAUUCAAUUUUUAAAUUAAUUAUUAUUUUUUUAGUAUAAUAUUUACAGUAUAGAUCAGUUAUUUUUCUCAGUCCUAAAUACAAGUUAAAUGAUCUAUUAUACUAUAUAUAUAUAUAUAUAUAUAUAUAUAUAUAUAUAUAUAUAUAUAUGAAAAUUUAUUUUUUCAUUUACACAAAAAUUAUUAGAAUUAAAUAAAAUAAUAAGAAUUAUAAUUAAAAACUAUAGGAUUGUUUUAGGAUUUUAACUCGUCGGUUUUAUAUGAACAAAUGAAGGAAAUUUUUUGUUAUUGAGAUUCAUCACAAAUUCUAUACCUAAGAUUCUUCUUGCAGACUUUAUUUCCUGCAUCUCUACAAAUUUUUAAAAUGAUCAUUUUACCUAAUAACUUUCAGAAUAUAUAUAUAUAUAUAUAUAUAUAUAUAUAUAUAUAUAUAUAUAUAUAUAUAUCUCAAAAACUUUUCGAAACAACUUUUUUAAAAAUUUUCAAAAUGAAAUUUCUGGAAGAGAAUAUUUAGAAUAAAAUUUCUGAUGAAAUAGAAUUUUCAAAGUGCGUGGAAUACAUUCUAAAAAAGAAUUUUAAAAAUAAAUUUAUUUAAUCUCACAUAAAUUUUUAAUUUAGUUCCUCUUUCAAAUCAAUUAAAAUUAUUCUAUAAAAUUUUAAAUAAUUCUUUUAAAAAAUCUUCCUACAAAUAUAUUAUUUUUAAUUUUUAUUUGUUUAUACUCUUUGUUAUCUAUAUAUAUAUAUAUAUAUAUAUAUAUAUAUGUAAGAAUUUUCCUUGUUAGUGUUCACAUUUGUUUUUCAAUUUCACUCUUUAAAUAAAAUUUUCAUGUAGUCUUCAAAUACCUGCUCAUGAAACCUAUCCAUAGGUUUUUUGAAAAGUUAAUACAAAACAUUAAGCUAUUCAAAAUCAUCAUAAGAUGUCUUGGGAUUCAAGUUUCAAAGAAUGCUUACCAGUGAUCACGAUAGAUAUGGCUUUGGUUUGGUAUUUUAUCUUUUAUGUCGUCUUGUAAAUUAUUAACAAUUUAGUGUCUUUCGAGUACAGAAACAGAUAUUUUUACUAAAUCUUUAUGUAUUAUUUUAGUAACAAGCUUGAUGCAUACCAGGAGAGUGUUAGAUAUAUUAUCUUUAUUUUAUAUUUAUCUUUUAUCUUUAUCUUUUAUCAUUAGUUAGUUUGUUAUUAUUUCUUAUUUAUAUUUUGGACUUAGUCAAUAUUUCUUCUAUUAUAAAUAGAGAUAUAUUUAACAUAUUAGUUCCAUAUAUAAUUUUCACUAUAUUUAACAAUUCCAAACAUCCAUAAUUAAAAUAAUUUCAUUAUACAAGUUUGAAUUAAGUAAACAUAUGUAAAUUACUUAUUCCAAAAGUAUAAGUUAAAUGAUCUAUUAUACUAUACAUAUCCCAAGCAUAUAUAUAUAUAUAUAUAUAUAUAUAUAUAUAUAUAUAUAUAUAUAUAUAUAUAUAUAUUUAUUACGUGUGUGAAAAUUUACUUUUUCAUUUACACACAAUAUUAUUAGAAUUAAAAAAUAAGUUAUAACUAAAGCAGUUAACUUCUUAGCUCUGAGUGAGAAAAGUAUAAAGAUUUCAAAUUCUUGUGGUGGAACAUCUUUGAUAUGUUAUAACUAACAAACCAAUCAGAUGUAUACCCAAAACCCCAUCACAUACAUACACAAAUACUAACAACCAAAAAAACUAACCUUCUUAAUGGGUUGAAAAUACAAUGGAGGGAAAUAGAGGACUCUGAAAGGUUUUGCAAGCUGCACCACCGUCAAAAAAAGGUGCACAAUAUGGUCCUAAAAUCGCCAACCAAGAACGCAUCAAGAACUGCACCAAAAGUCAACGAAAACUAAUUUUCAUAAGUUGAAAUGGAAGAUAAUUCAUUAAAGAGUAAUAUAAUCAGAGUAAAAAUGAUUAUAAACCGUGCAAAUGAGCGAAAACCAUACCUAUAUAGCAAUGGCAGAAGAGGGAAACGCAAAGGAAGAAAAUGAAUAGUGCUCGCGUAAGUGCUGCUCGUGGAUGGGUAAAAAAAACAGGACUUUAGACUUAGGUUCUCCUCCUGUCCAACGUCUAAAUCAUCUUACUAGUCGGCCCCCUCCCCAACCAUCUCUAAGGCCUUUAAAAAAUUAAUUUUGGCACUGGAAAUGAGGCAUUUACGGAGCCAUUUCGCGUCCGGGGUGGGGUCGAUGUCUA
rnacentral:lncRNA from 1 species